UGGGUACUGCUGCAUGGCGGAUCAUUCUUCCUCUCUCCCUCUCUCUCUCUGCCUAGUUGCCUGCCUGCAGAAAACUAAUGAAUCAUUUCUAGCUGAAUCCAGACAGUGCCAACACAUCGAUGCCCUUUCUCCCCCUCCCUUCCUCGCUCUCCUUCUCUCUCUCUCUCCCCUCUUCCCCCCUCCCCCUCUCUCCUCCCUCCCUGCUCCCUCCCUCCGGCCCCCAGUUUGUAAUCUGACACAGCAGACUGCAGCUGUGUCCGCGUUUAGAAAUGUCCCAUCAGACCUGAAGCCUGUGGGUCCAGAAGACACAUUUGAUCGGAUCCAACCUUUGGAAGAUCUGCUUGGAAAUUUCCCACUUCGUGUCCUGAGUCCAGGAACCCAGCAGUGGAAUUUUGUAG
rnacentral:lncRNA from 1 species